CGACUAUUCUUAAGUGAAUCUUAUGUGGUAUUGCAGGACUAACUUUUCUUUAGACAAUUUUGUAAUCUUUAGUUCAUUUUGGGUCAUUUCCAUUGCCUGUUAGUGUUUUUCGCUAGAGUGCUUUGCAGGCAGUUGUUUGAAAUAGAACCUUCCAGCCAACUUACUUCUCCAAUAGUACAUUCUUGUUGAGUUUGGUUGGACGUUCUCCAAAGUAAAUUUGGGAGAACAAUAAACCAUACUUUCUAUGUUUUGAAACUAAAGCUGGCCAUGAUUAAUUCUUUUCAAGUUGAUAGUCUAUCAGAGUUUGAAUUUGCUUUUGUAUAGCAAUAUGGAAGUAUAUUAUUUCAUCAUAUUUUCCUAAAGUAGCUUCUGAUUUGUUCACAUUUGUAGAACUACACAAUCUGCACAUUCCUUCUCUUCUCCUAAUCAAUUUCAUCUCAAAUUAGGCUUUAUCCCCUGAUUAGCAUUCUGAGCUACUUAAAUUUCUUCGCCCACAUGUUUGAUUUAGGUUUUUGUUUAGACAUGACAAAUGUUUGCAAGUUAUAGACGCCACGCCUGCCGCUGUCGGGGAGCUCCUGCCUGCGCUGCAAGCCUCAUGACCUUGCAAACUCGCUCGUGCUGCUUAAACUAUAUGGCCUCUCCCUACUCAGGAUGGACUGCUUCGUGCAGAUUCACUCUUCUUUGCCUGAAGGCUCCUGUGUAUCCAGGACCGGCACAAGGAAAAUUCUGGGAUGAAGAAAAAAAGCGAAAAUGCAAAUAGAUGACAAAUCCCAACUUAUUCCUUUGGCCAUUUCUGUAACCAAAGCUAUUGGCUGGCCAACACAAAGGAGCUGAAAUUUCAUAGCGACAAAAAUAGGUGCUGGAGGUACCAUGCAAGCAAGCAUGGCGACCACGAUCAUGCUGCAGUGGCUGGGUUAUAUCCCCUCCCGCUAGCUGAGGAUGGGCUCGAUGAUGGUGCUCCUACCCUUACACAUGUAUAUUCCCACAUUGAACUCGAUUAUUGCAAUGAUUGGGUUGAUUUGGACAUACUGUGCCUUGAAUGACUUUUCCCGUUGGGCAAUUCAAAUGAUGGAAGCCUCUUCGGACCCUUCCACCUCUCCGGCCUCACCACUGGAGACUCGGAUGCGAGAACCGCCACCGCCGCCGCCGUGUCUGUCGGUGACGCUCACACAAGAAUCCAGAGGCAGUACCUUGGUCCUCUCCCUGAGAACAACAGCUCUCUCAUGAUGCGGUCGCGGCCCGAGGGUGGCGGGACUGACGCCACCGUCCAUGCCAUGUUCUGGCUGAUCCCCAAGGCUCCUUGCCGAUGUCCAACCAGCGCCACACAGCCAAUGGUACUGCUGACAUGAGGACGCCCACCCUCGAGCUUUUUGACCUGAGCCUGAUGGACAAGGUCAUACGGGCAUCUGAUUUUGAUUUGCUAUGUGCUCUCUUUUCACAAGUGUAGCUUUUUGUGUUAUAAAACUAUGCUACCGAUUGUUCUUUGUUGAUAUUUCCCUACUUGUGUCCUGAUUAAUGGAUCUGAGGUAGUUAGAAGUCACUGAAUAACUACUUAUACUAUUGUGUCAGCCGUCACUGGCUACAAUUGUUUAUAUGAUACUUGUACUAUUAUA